rnacentral:rRNA from 1 species
AUGUAAGUUUUUGCAUGAGUUUUUAUUUAUUUUAAUAAUAAAUAGAUUUUACUUUAAAUUCUCAGUAAAUAAUUUUAUUAAUCAAAGAAAUUUGUAAAUAGUAAUAUCAUAAAGUAUUGGCAAAAUUUGUGCCAGCAGCUGCGGUUAUACAAAUAAUGCAAAUAAAAUUGGUUCAGUGUAAGUUAAAUUUUUAUAUGAUUAAUAAAAUAAAAAUAAAUUUAUUAGGUGAAAUUUUAAAUUUAUAAAAUUUUAUUUUAAUUUAAUUGAAGCUUAUAAAUUUUAUUAAUAAACUAGGAUUAGAUACCCUAUUAUUUAAAAUGUAAAUUUAAACACUAAGGUAGUAGUAGUUAAGUUCUUGAAACUUAAAAAAUUUGGCGGUAUUUUAGUCUAUUCAGAGGAACCUGUCCUGUAAUCGAUAAUCCACGUUGUACCUUACUUAAAUUUGUUUUCAAUUUAUAUACCGUCGUUAUUAGAAUAUUUUAUUAGAAUAAUAAUUUUCUAUAAUUUUUAUUAAAAUUUAUAUCAGAUCAAGGUGUAGUUUAUAUUUAAGUAGAGAUGGGUUACAAUAAAAAUAUUUUUGGAUUUAAAUUUGAAAAAUUUAAUGAAAGUGGAUUUGAUAGUAAAUUUUUAAAGAUAAAAAAGUUGAUUUUAGCUCUAAAAUAUGCACACAUCGCCCGUCGCUCUUUCUACUAAGGAAAGAUAAGUCGUAACAUAGUAGAUGUA